rnacentral:rRNA from 1 species
GAUGAACGCUGGCGGCGUGCUUAACACAUGCAAGUCGAACGAAGAUGCCGGAGUGCUUGCACUUUGGCAGACUGAGUGGCGGACGGGUGAGUAACGCGUGGGUAACCUGCCUUAUACAGGGGGAUAACAGUUGGAAACGACUGCUAAUACCGCAUAAGCGCACGGUAUCGCAUGAUACAGUGUGAAAAACUCCGGUGGUAUAAGAUGGACCCGCGUCUGAUUAGCUUGUUGGUGAGGUAACGGCCCCACCAAGGCGACGAUCGGUAGCCGGACUGAGAGGUUGAACGGCCACAUUGGGACUGAGACA